GACGAACGCUGGCGGCGUGCUUAACACAUGCAAGUCGAACGAUGACGACCGAGCUUGCUCGGUCUGAUUAGUGGCGAACGGGUGAGUAACACGUGAGCAACCUGCCCUUCACUCUGGGAUAACCUCGGGAAAUCGGGGCUAAUACCGGAUAUGAGCUCCUGUCGCAUGGCGGGUGUUGGAAAGUUUUUCGGUGAAGGAUGGGCUCGCGGCCUAUCAGUUUGUUGGUGAGGUAGUGGCUCACCAAGGCGAUGACGGGUAGCCGGCCUGAGAGGGCGACCGGCCACACUGGGACUGAGACACGGCCCAGACUCCUACGGGAGGCAGCAGUGGGGAAUAUUGCACAAUGGGCGGAAGCCUGAUGCAGCGACGCCGCGUGAGGGAUGACGGCCUUCGGGUUGUAAACCUCUUUCAGCAGGGAAGAAGCGAAAGUGACGGUACCUGCAGAAGAAGCGCCGGCUAACUACGUG
rnacentral:rRNA from 1 species